GGCGGGGUAGCUCAGUUGGUUAGAGCGCACGGUUCAUACCCGUGUUGUCGGUGGUUCGAAUCCACUCCCCGCUA
rnacentral:tRNA from 1 species